AGAGCGUAGGGAGAAUGACUUGGCAUCAGGAGCCGAAGAAGGACGUGACAAGCUGCGAAAAGCUGCGGUUAGGAGCAAAUAUCCAUAGACCCGCAGAUAUCCGAAUGGGGAAACCCGGUACGGCAAUACCGUAUCACUGCAUGGUAAAUACAUAGCCAUGUGGAGGAAACCCUCUGAACUGAAACAUCUAAGUAGGAGGAGGAAGAGAAAGAAACAUCGAUUUCCUAAGUAGCGGCGAGCGAAAGGGAAAGAGGCCAAACCAGAGAUAGCAAUAUCUUUGGGGUUGCGGACUGCAAAAUUGAUUCAAUAUUUUUAGCAGAAGUGUAUGGGAAGACACACCAUAGUAGGUAAUAGUCCUGUAAGCGAAAAGGAUAUUGACAAGGCAGGAUCCAGAGUACCACCGGACACGAGGAACCCGGUGGGAAGCCGGGGGGACCACCCCCCAAGCCUAAAUACUACCUGAUGACCGAUAGUGAAAAGUACAGUGAUGGAAAGUUGAAAAGAACCCCGGAAGGGGAGUGAAAAAGAAUCUGAAACCCUAUGUUUACAAGCUGCUAAAGCACCAUAUGAGUGCGAUAGCGUACUUUUUGUAGAACGGUCCGGCGAGUGUAUGUUGCAAGCGAGGUUAAGGUGUUAAGCACUGAAGCCGAAGGGAGACCGAGUGUGAAUAGCGCGUACAGUUUGCAGUAUACGACCCGAAACCGGGUGACCUAACCAUGGACAGGUUGAAGUGGAAGUAAAAUUCCAUGGAGGACCGAACCCACGUCUGUUGAAAAAGGCGGGGAUGAGCUGUGGUUAGCGGUGAAAUUCCAAUCGAACUCGGAUAUAGCUGGUUCUCAUCGAAAUAGCUUUAGGGCUAGCCUCAGGAUAGUUUAGCGGAGGUAAAGCACUGAAUGGGCUAGGGGGCUUCACGGCUUACCGAACCCUAUCAAACUCUGAAUGCCGCAUAAAUGUUUCCUGGGAGUCAGACUGCGUGAGAUAAGUUUCGUAGUCAAAAGGGAAAGAGCCCAGACCUACAGCUAAGGUCCCUAAAUGAAUUUAAGUGGAAAAGGAUGUGCAGUUGCGUAGACAACUAGGACGUUGGCUUAGAAGCAGCCACUCAUUUAAAGAGUGCGUAAUAGCUCACUAGUCGAGUGACUCUGCGCCGAAGAUAAACGGGGCUGAAACCUGACACCGAAGCUUUGGAUACAUUAUGUAUGGUAGAGGAGCAUCGUAUACGGGCAGAAGCGUGACCGUAAGGGAGCGUGGACUGUAUACGAGAGAGAAUGUUGGCAUGAGUAGCGAGAGGCAGGUGAGAAUCCUGCCCGCCGAAAAUCUGAGGAUUCCUGAGGAAGGUUCGUCCGCUCAGGGUAAGUCGGGACCUAAGCCGAGAACGAAAGUUGUAGGCGAUGGACAACAGGUUGAGAUUCCUGUACCACCGAGGAUCAUUUGAAUGAAGUGGGGACGCAGGAGGAUAGGCUGAGCGCGCCGUUGGUGGAGCGCGUCCAAGCACGGAGGGAGUUGACCAGGCAAAUCCGGUCAGCGAGUUCCUGACGUGUGAUGGGGAGGGAAAACAAGUACCGAAGCAGCUGAUUUCACACUGCCAAGAAAAGCCGCUGGUGAGAUCCAAGGUGCCCGUACCGCAAACCGACACAGGUAGAUGAGGAGAGAAUCCUAAGGCGAGCGAGAGAACUAUUGUUAAGGAACUCGGCAAAAUGACCCCGUAACUUAGGGAGAAGGGGUGCCUGUCUAUGACAGGCCGCAGAGAAUAGGCCCAAGCGACUGUUUACCAAAAACACAGGUUUCUGCUAAGUCGCAAGACGAUGUAUAGGAGCUGACGCCUGCCCGGUGCUGGAAGGUUAAGGGGAUCUGUUAGAGCAAUCGAAGCAGUGAACUUAAGCCCCAGUAAACGGCGGCCGUAACUAUAACGGUCCUAAGGUAGCGAAAUUCCUUGUCGGGUAAGUUCCGACCCGCACGAAAGGCGUAACGAUUUGGGCACUGUCUCAACAAUAGACUCGGUGAAAUUGUAAUCCCGGUGAAGAUGCCGGGUACCUGCGACAGGACGGAAAGACCCCAUGGAGCUUUACUGUAGCUUGACGUUGGGUCUUGGUACUACAUGUACAGGAUAGGUGGGAGACUAUGAAGCAUGGACGCCAGUCUGUGUGGAGUCAUCCUUGGGAUACCACCCUUGUAGUACUGGGAUCCUAACCAUAGGCCUUGAAUCAGGUCUUGGAACACCGUCAGGUGGGCAGUUUGACUGGGGCGGUCGCCUCCUAAAAAGUAACGGAGGCGCUCAAAGGUUUCCUCAGCACGGUCGGAAAUCGUGCGAAGAGUGUAAAGGCAAAAGGAAGCUUGAUUGCAAGACAUACAGGUCGAGCAAGGACGAAAGUCGGACUUAGUGAUCCGGUGGUACCGCAUGGAAGGGCCAUCGCUCAACGGAUAAAAGCUACCCUGGGGAUAACAGGCUUAUCUCCCCCAAGAGUCCACAUCGACGGGGAGGUUUGGCACCUCGAUGUCGGCUCA
rnacentral:rRNA from 1 species